CAGCAGCCGCGGUAAUACGUAGGUGGCAAGCGUUGUCCGGAAUUAUUGGGCGUAAAGGGCUCGCAGGCGGUUUCUUAAGUCUGAUGUGGAAGCCCCCGGCUCAACCGGGGAGGGUCAUUGGAAACUGGGAAACUUGAGUGCAGAAGAGGAGAGUGGAAUUCCACGUGUAGCGGUGAAAUGCGUAGAGAUGUGGAGGAACACCAGUGGCGAAGGCGACUCUCUGGUCUGUAACUGACGCUGAGGAGCGAAAGCGUGGGGAGCGAACAGGAUUAGAUACCCCAGUAGUCCCUGUCUCUUAUAC
rnacentral:rRNA from 1 species